UCGCCUGCACGAAGUUGGAGUUGCUAGUAAUCGCAGAUCAGAAUGCUGCGGUGAAUGCGUUCCCGGGUCUUGUACACACCGCCCGUCACACCAUGGAAGUUGGGGGUGCCCAAAGUCGGUUAGAAAAUAAACUGCCUAAGGCAAAACCAAUGACUGGGGUGAAGUCGUAACAAGGUAUC
rnacentral:rRNA from 1 species